rnacentral:lncRNA from 1 species
AGUAUAGUUGAUUUACAAUGUUUCUUCAACUUCUGUUGUACAGCAAAGUAUCCCAAUCACACCCAGUUCCCUGUGCUGUACAGUAGGAGCCCACUGCCCAACCAUUUCAAGAGUUACAGUUUUUAACACACAAAAAGUAACAAGUGGGGACAGGGUGAGGAGCAGCCAUCAGGUAAACAAAUACAACAUUAGUUGGUAACAUCUAUGUCUCAACAUCCCAGGCUUCCCUUUUCUCUCAUCAUUGACUGAUCUGAUUUCACUGAUAAAUCUGACUACAGGUAUAAUGAACAGCUGGAGAAAUGUCAGAGUGAGCAUAUUAGUAAGUGCUUCUCGAGGGCAGGGAGUGGCCUUAUCCACUGCUGUCUUCCUGGCACUUACCACAGACCUGCACCAGAGUACUGAAUAAAUGUUAACUGAGGGAACACAUGAAUGAAGGAAAUAAUUGAGUGAUUUAAAGCAUAUUGUACACAUCAAAGGCAUAAAUUCUUAAGGGACACAAAAUUAUGGAGAGGUUUAGCCUGUAAGACUGUGGAGUGGGAGUAAUAAAAUAAAUGAAGCAAAAGAGAAAGAAAACAAAAUUAAGGAGACACAAGGAUCGACCAAAAAAUCUAAAGCAUUGCCAGAAAGACUGUGUGGUAAUAAUAACUGCUAUCAAAUUGAAAUGGAAAAAUCUUUUCAGAUAUUUAACAAGUUGAUGCAAUAUGGAGUGGCCAUAGAAUUGGAAAUGAAAGGAAGCCAACAACAAGCAUGUCUAGCUCACAAAUCUGUAACCAAUUUGAAACUUGUGAAUGGUGGUCUCUGAGCUGCCGCCACAAAAGUGACUAUCUUGGCAGCCUUGGACUCUUGUCAUUAUCAAACCAAGGGUCAUUAUUUUAUGAAUCUUAUACUGUAGCUAAGCCAGGCGGACAACAGUACCUUCUUUCAUUUUGCUUGGAUAAUGGCCAAAUACAAGUCACUUUACUAUGACUUAAAGGGUACUGUGCCCAUCUGUUCACAAUUGAUGGGAAUAAUUGAGGGGUAGAAUGUGCCAGGGACUCUUGGACAAUUCUGCAGAAAUAGAUCAGGAGUUUUCUUGGCCAUUUGCCAUGUGACAACACUUCCUUUAUCCAUAAACAUAUGGACUUGAUGAAACUAUCAUUUGGAGACUGUGGACAACAGGGCUUGGGGCCAUUUCAUUUCCAUGAGAAAAUUUACAUAAGUGAUAGUGAGGGAAUAGCCUUUACAUUCUGUAUUACACCUUGAGAAAUUCUUGCAAGCAUACAACUUGGUUUUGUGCCCUCAAAUUAGAAAGGAACAUUGUGAUUGGAUGGAUCCCUGUCCACUGCUUUGAGUUUAAAAUAAAGAUAAAUGACCUCAAAGGAGAGGAGUGGCCAGGUGAUAUCCUGAGACCACAAAUUUCAGUUGUCCACCUCUCCUAAGAUGGAGCAGAAAAGUGUUCUCAAAUAUUUGCUCAACAAAUUUGCUUUUCAAACAGGUCAAUGAUUGAAGGAGAGAAACAUCGCCAUUAGUGGCCAGGAAAACAGUUGGGAUAACACCAGAUUAUUCUUAAAUAUAAUCUUGAGUAAAAAAAAAAAUACAGAGAACUGGCUGAAAAAUGCUUCUGAUGUCUGUCUUCUCAAGUUCAGAAAUUUUCACUCGUGACUUAUUUUAAAAAGAGGGAGAGAGAGAACAGAAUCAUCAAUUUGAGGCCUGGAAUAAGCAAGGAAGUCUCUCCUUAUUCUUGGCCAGGAAUUCCCAAAACCAUGAUCCUCUUUUAUUCAACAUUUCUGUAGUGAACAUCAAGGUAAACCAUGAAGGGAGAAGAGAUGUCCCUAAAAGUCACCCUAGAGGAGAAAAACAGUGUUAGUAGAUGAUCUGGUAAAGUCCCUUCCCUCCAUACCAAGACAGAACCUCCAACCUAUGGAGCCACCAUUGCUCAAGUGGAAGCACCUGAUGGGUGCAACCCAAGCCCAGUCAGCCAGGAGGCUGAUGGCCUCAUUAUGGGUUAUCCAGAUUCUUGACAUCUCUUCUCCUGUCCUCUUAAGUGAUCUCUUGCUCACAGGAGAAUCAAGAGAAAGGAGUAGAAGAAACUCAUUCCAAUGCAUUUUGCUAUUUGUUGAGCAGUGUGUGGAAAGCAUUUCUAGGAAAAGGAGAUUAUGUUUUAAGUUAAAAAGAGUGUUUGUGUUUCCUCUGAUUUCAAUUAUUCAGGCCCUCAGUGUCCUUGACUUUCCUCAGCCUUCCUGGCGUGCCCAGAAAUGACAAAGAGUGGACCUAGAUAAUGAUAGGUGCCAGCAUUGCCAGGAACACCAAAUGCAUCCCUCUGCCCACCAUAACCAUAGAUUCCUGUCUUUUGCAUGACAACUCAAGGUCACUUGCUCCUGGAACUCUUGCUUACCCACGACACCAUCUCCAACCUUGUGCCUCCCUCUUCACAUUAUUAGCAUUCUGAGUCAGGUCAUGUGUAUUUUCAAUUCUCAUGAUUUGGAAGUGACAGCAUGAAAUAACAGAGCAAAGCAAGAAGCAUUCCAUCUGAAGGACUGGAUUCAAGAUUUGGCUUCUCCUUACUGACUGGGUGACCUUAGGCAAAUCUCCUCACCUGUUUAAGCUUCAGUGGCCCCAUCUGGAAAAGGGUUAUAUGGAUUGCAAAUGAGAUAGCCCAGGUGAAAGCUGUGAACUGGAGUUUGGCACUUGCCAU